AAUACAAGCUGUAAAACCAGGACCGGAGCAGCAUCUCAGAUCUCUUCUCUCUCCUGUUUCCACCUCUGCAGCACCGUUUAAAAGCCAAACAAGCAUCAAGAUGUCAGAAAAAAAGAUGUCUUCAAGUCGCAAGCACCAUCUCAAGAGUUUGAUGCUGUCCAUUGCCAAAGAUUUGCUGGAGGAGGAAGAACGGGAGCGAGAGGAGGAGAAGGAGCGGUACCUGGCUGAGAGCUGUCCUCCCCCGUCCAUGCCCAGGAGCAUGCAGGAGC